rnacentral:tRNA from 1 species
AAAUAAGUAUGAACAAAUAAAAAUUUCUAAUUUUAUAUUUUAAUAGUUAAAAUCUAUUUUUAUUUU